rnacentral:rRNA from 1 species
CCCUUAGAUGUUCUGGGCCGCACGCGCGCUACACUGUUCGACGCAGCGAGUCUUAACCUUGACCGAAAUGUUUGGGUAAUCUUCAGCAAAGUCGAACGUGAUGGGGAUCGAUCAUUGCAAUUAUUGAUCGUGAACGAGGAAUUCCUAGUAAGUGCAAGUCAUCAGCUUGCGCUGAUUACGUCCCUGCCCUUUGUACACACCGCCCGUCGCUACUACCGAUUGAAUGGUUUAGUGAGAUCUCUGGAUUGACGCUGGCUAGGGGGCGACCCUUGGCCAGACUGCUCGAGAAACUGCUCAAACUUGAUCAUUUAGAGGAAGUAAAAGUCGUAACA